rnacentral:tRNA from 1 species
AGUCCCGUAGAGAGGCGGAGUGCAAAUCCGGCGAAGCACCCAAAAGGUGCCGGGGCUU